AUUUAAAGAAAGCGUAAUAGCUCACUGGUCGAGUCGGCCUGCGCGGAAGAUGUAACGGGGCUAAACCAUGCACCGAAGCUGCGGCAGCGACACUGUGUGUUGUUGGGUAGGGGAGCGUUCUGUAAGCCUGUGAAGGUGUGUCGUGAGGCAUGCUGGAGGUAUCAGAAGUGCGAAUGCUGACAUAAGUAACGAUAAAGCGGGUGAAAAGCCCGCUCGCCGGAAGACCAAGGGUUCCUGUCCAACGUUAAUCGGGGCAGGGUGAGUCGACCCCUAAGGCGAGGCCGAAAGGCGUAGUCGAUGGGAAACGGGUUAAUAUUCCCGUACUUGGUGUUACUGCGAAGGGGGGACGGAGAAGGCUAUGUUGGCCGGGCGACGGUUGUCCCGGUUUAAGCGUGUAGGUGUGUGUUCCAGGUAAAUCCGGUUCACUUUAACACUGAGGCGUGACGACGAGGCACUACGGUGCUGAAGCAACAAAUGCCCUGCUUCCAGGAAAAGCCUCUAAGCAUCAGGUAACAUCAAAUCGUACCCCAAACCGACACAGGUGGUCAGGUAGAGAAUACCAAGGCGCUUGAGAGAACUCGGGUGAAGGAACUAGGCAAAAUGGUGCCGUAACUUCGGGAGAAGGCACGCUGACACGUAGGUGAAGUGAUUUACUCAUGGAGCUGAAGUCAGUCGAAGAUACCAGCUGGCUGCAACUGUUUAUUAAAAACACAGCACUGUGCAAACACGAAAGUGGACGUAUACGGUGUGACGCCUGCCCGGUGCCGGAAGGUUAAUUGAUGGGGUCAGCGCAAGCGAAGCUCCUGAUCGAAGCCCCGGUAAACGGCGGCCGUAACUAUAACGGUCCUAAGGUAGCGAAAUUCCUUGUCGGGUAAGUUCCGACCUGCACGAAUGGCGUAAUGAUGGCCAGGCUGUCUCCACCCGAGACUCAGUGAAAUUGAACUCGCUGUGAAGAUGCAGUGUACCCGCGGCAAGACGGAAAGACCCCGUGAACCUUUACUAUAGCUUGACACUGAACAUUGAGCCUUGAUGUGUAGGAUAGGUGGGAGGCUUUGAAGUGUGGACGCCAGUCUGCAUGGAGCCGACCUUGAAAUACCACCCUUUAAUGUUUGAUGUUCUAACGUGGACCCGUUACCCGGGUUGCGGACAGUGUCUGGUGGGUAGUUUGACUGGGGCGGUCUCCUCCUAAAGAGUAACGGAGGAGCACGAAGGUUGGCUAAUCCUGGUCGGACAUCAGGAGGUUAGUGCAAUGGCAUAAGCCAGCUUGACUGCGAGCGUGACGGCGCGAGCAGGUGCGAAAGCAGGUCAUAGUGAUCCGGUGGUUCUGAAUGGAAGGGCCAUCGCUCAACGGAUAAAAGGUACUCCGGGGAUAACAGGCUGAUACCGCCCAAGAGUUCAUAUCGACG
rnacentral:rRNA from 1 species